UACGUAGGGUGCAAGCGUUGUCCGGAAUUAUUGGGCGUAAAGAGCUCGUAGGCGGUUUGUCGCGUCGAAUGUGAAAACCCGGGGCUCAACCCCGGGCCUGCAUUCGAUACGGGCAGACUAGAGUUCGGUAGGGGAGUCUGGAAUUCCUGGUGUAGCGGUGAAAUGCGUAGAUAUCAGGAGGAACACCCGUGGCGAAGGCGGCCUUCUGGGUCGACCCUGACGCUGAGGCGCGAAAGCGUGGGGAGCGAACGGG
rnacentral:rRNA from 1 species